AGAGAUUUGGCCGAGCGGUUUAAGGCGGCUAUUUUGAGUAUAGUUAGGGAUUAUAUCCUUCAAGGGUUCGAAUCCCUUAUUCUCUG
rnacentral:tRNA from 1 species